UGAAGUGAUUUUUUUCCUUAUUCUGCCUUGACAAACCGUUUGAAGUAGACUCCUUAAUUAAAGGAUUCCAAUUGUCUUAAUUGACACUAAUUGAUUUCUAUUUCCAUGUUUGUGCACUCUUUACCUAUGUACUGCUUGUCUACAAAAUUAUAUAAGGAGCUGUCUUCCCUCUUUUAAUUACAUACUUUCUUGCAAUACUGUUUUGAAUUCAACACUUUGCUUUGCUUGAGAUCUUUUGGAACUACAACUUGGCUCUCUCAAAGCUAUUGUUCCUUUACUUGUUUUUCCUUUGAAACUGGCAUGUCUUUCAUUUAAAUUCUCU
rnacentral:lncRNA from 1 species